UCUUCUAAGAGGCCUAUGUGUUCUACUAAGAGGACUAGGUGUUCUACUAAGAGGACUAGGUGUUCUUCUAAGAGGACUAGGUGUUCUUCUAAGAGGACUAAGUGUUCUACUAUGAUGGCUAGGUGUUCUACUAAGAGGACUAGGUGUUCUACUAAGAUGACUAGGUGUUCUACUAAGAGGACUAGGUGUUCUACUAAGAGUACUAUGUGUUUUUCUAAGAGGACUAGGUGUUCUACUAAGAGGACUAGGUGUUGUACUAAGAUGACUAGGUGUUGUACUAAGAGGACUAGGUGUUUUACUAAGAGGACUAGGUGUUCUACUAAGAGGACUAGGUGUUUUACU